GUGAUAAGCUGCGAUAAGCUUCGGGGAGUUGCACGUAAACUUUGAUCCGAAGAUUUCCGAAUGAGGAAACUCACUUAGAGUAAUGUCUAAGUAUCAUUAAGUGAAUACAUAGCUUAAUGAGGGGAACUCAGGGAACUGAAACAUCUAAGUACCUGAAGGAAGAGAAAGAAAGUCGAUUCCGUAAGUAGCGGCGAGCGAACGCGGAUUAGCCCAAACUAAUAAAGUUUUCUUUAUUGGGGUUGCGGACAUAUCAUAACGAAGAGGUAUCGUAAUUGAAGAGGUUUGGAAAGACCCACCACAGAAGGUAAUAGUCCUGUAUGUUAAACGAGAAGACUUUAGAUAUGAUCCAGAGUACCACGGGACACGUGAAACCCUGUGGGAAGCAGGAGGGACCACCCUCCAAGGCUAAAUACUACCUAGUGACCGAUAGCGUAUAGUACCGUGAGGGAAAGGUGAAAAGAACCCCGGGAGGGGAGUGAAAUAGAACCUGAAACCCUGCACUUACAAGCUGUGGAAGCACAUUUCUUGUGUGACCGCGUACUUUUUGUAGAACGGGCCAACGAGUUACGUUAAGUAGCAAGGUUAAGCACUUAAGGUGCGGAGCCGUAGCGAAAGCGAGUUUUAACUGAGCGUUCAGUUACUUGACGUAGACCCGAAACCGGGCGACCUACCCAUGAGCAGGAUGAAGCGAAAGUAAAAUUUCGUG
rnacentral:rRNA from 1 species